rnacentral:rRNA from 1 species
GAUGAACGCUGGCGGCGUGCUUAACACAUGCAAGUCGAACGAAGCACUUAAGAACGAUUCUUCGGAUGAAGUCUUUUGUGACUGAGUGGCGGACGGGUGAGUAACGCGUGGGUAACCUGCCUCACACAGGGGGAUAACAGUUGGAAACGACCGCUAAUACCGCAUAACCCGCUGGUAUCGCAUGAUACUGACGGAAAAGAUUUAUCGGUGUGAGAUGGACCCGCGUCUGAUUAGCCAGUUGGCAGGGUAACGGCCUACCAAAGCGACGAUCAGUAGCCGGCCUGAGAGGGUGAACGGCCACAUUGGGACUGAGACACGGCCCAA